AUAUAAUGCUGUUGGAAGCUUGCAGG
rnacentral:piRNA from 1 species